CAGUCACAGGUCCAUAUGCAUGCCUCAUCACACCAGUAAAUUCGUUCAGCCAUGAGGGUUCAACUUGGUGCAUCUCCACAUCUUGACCUUUCUCAGCAUGUGAGUUUGUAGGAAAGCAGAAAUCCUCAUCCAUGGCAUGGGGAAAGAGGUCCUUCCGGCGCUUACUGCAGACAGGAGAGAGGUCCAUCACCUCGCCAUUGGAAUGACUUGAUUGGGAGGACAAAUUCAAACUUGAGCCAUUAGGUAACUUUUUCGGAUGGGGAUGUGAAGUGCUCUUCAUCGAAGGAGGCCUCUCAAGCUCAAAUUCGGUGCUUGGUAGAUUCCUC
rnacentral:lncRNA from 1 species